rnacentral:rRNA from 1 species
AACCAAGUUAAAGAAACUAUAGUAACUGCGGAGGACAUUAUUGAAUUAUGUUUUCUAGAUGGGUUGUAGCUGGCUCUUCGGAGCAUGUGCACGCCUGUCUGGACUUCAUUUUCAUCCACCUGUGCACUUUUUGUAGUCUUUUUCAGGUAUUGAAGGAAGUGGUCAGUUUAUCAGCCCUUGCUGGAUAUAAGGACUUGCAGUGUGUAAUCAGUGCUGUCCUUUACCCUUGACCAUGGAAUCUCUUUCCUGUCGGAGACUAUGUUAUUCAUUAUACUCUGUAGAAUGUCAUUGAAUGUCUUUACGUGGGCUUGUAUGCCUAUGAAAAUUAUUAUACAACUUUCAGCAACGGAUCUCUUGGCUCUCGCAUCGAUGAAGAACGCAGCGAAAUGCGAUAAGUAAUGUGAAUUGCAGAAUUCAGUGAAUCAUCGAAUCUUUGAACGCAUCUUGCGCUCCUUGGUAUUCCGAGGAGCAUGCCUGUUUGAGUGUCAUUAUAUUCUCAACUCUCCGAUACUUUGUUGUAAAGGAGAGCUUGGAUUGUGGAGGCUUGCUGGCCACUUGCUUGCGGUCAGCUCCUCUGAAAUGCAUUAGCAGAACCGUCUGCGAUCUGCCACAAGUGUGAUAAACUAUCUACACUAGCGAGGGGAUUGCUUUCUGUGAUGUUCAGCUUCUAAUCGUCUUAGGACAAUUUCUUGAAUGCUUGACCUCAAAUCAGGUAGGACUACCCGCUGAACUUAAGCAUAUCAAUAAGCGGAGGAAAAGAAACUAACAAGGAUUCCCCUAGUAACUGCGAGUGAAGCGGGAAAAGCUCAAAUUUAAAAUCUGGCGGUCUUUUGCCGUCCGAGUUGUAAUCUAGAGAAGUAAUGCCCGUGCUGGACCGUGUAUAAGUCUCCUGGGAUGGGGCGUCAUAGAGGGUGAGAAUCCCGUCUUUGACACGGACUACCAGUGCAUUGUGGUAUGCUCUCAAAGAGUCGAGUUGUUUGGGAAUGCAGCUCAAAAUGGGUGGUAAAUUCCAUCUAAAGCUAAAUAUUGGCGAGAGACCGAUAGCGAACAAGUACCGUGAGGGAAAGAUGAAAAGAACUUUGGAAAGAGAGUUAAACAGUACGUGAAAUUGCUGAAAGGGAAACGCUUGAAGUCAGUCGCGUUGGCCAGGGAUCAGCCUUGCUUUUGCAUGGUGUAUUUUCUGGUUAACGGGUCAGCAUCAAUUUUGACCACUGGAAAAGGGCCUGGGGAAUGUGGCAGCUUAGGCUGUGUUAUAGCCCCUGGUCGCAUACAGUGGUUGGGAUUGAGGAACUCAGCACGCCGCAAGGCCGGGUUUCGACCACGUUCGUGCUUAGGAUGCUGCAAGCCCAUAAGCAAAGAAACAGCCUAG